GGGCUGCAGCUCAAUGGUAGAGCGCUUGCCUGGCACAUAUGAGGCAUUGGGUUCAAUCCUUAGCAGCACA
rnacentral:tRNA from 1 species